CAGGAACACUGGUGCCGUGGGGCAGGGUGUAAGGCAGGCACUUCGGAGUCGCCGUUCCCUGCUUCAGCAGUUGCUGACAGGUCUCAAAGUGGAUAUAGCUUUUUCCACCUGCAAUCAAAUGUAAUAAACCAUCUUCACUGCAGAAGUCAAAUUCCUGGAAAAAAAAGAAGUUGGAAGCUCACACUUACACCAUAAAACCUUGUUUAUUGCACCCAUCAGUCUUGGAAGAUAUGCCCCACAAUGGGGUUUGGUAAAGCCAUUACAAGACUACCAAGGAGAAAAAAUACAGAGAAUUAAC